rnacentral:rRNA from 1 species
UACGUAGGGUGCAAGCGUUAAUCGGAAUUACUGGGCGUAAAGCGUGCGCAGGCGGUGAUGUAAGACAGAUGUGAAAUCCCCGGGCUCAACCUGGGAACUGCAUUUGUGACUGCAUCGCUGGAGUACGGCAGAGGGGGAUGGAAUUCCGCGUGUAGCAGUGAAAUGCGUAGAUAUGCGGAGGAACACCGAUGGCGAAGGCAAUCCCCUGGGCAUGUACUGACGCUCAUGCACGAAAGCGUGGGGAGCAAACAGG